AAAUGAAUAGACGGGGGCCCGCACAAGCAGUGGAGUAUGUGGUUUAAUUCGAAGCAACGCGAAGAACCUUACCAGGGCUUGACAUCCCUCUGACAGGCUUAGAGAUAAGUCCUCUCUUCGGAGCAGAGGAGACAGGUGGUGCAUGGUUGUCGUCAGCUCGUGUCGUGAGAUGUUGGGUUAAGUCCCGCAACGAGCGCAACCCCUGUUGUUAGUUGCCAGCAUUUAGUUGGGCACUCUAGCAAGACUGCCGGUGAUAAAUCGGAGGAAGGUGGGGACGACGUCAAAUCAUCAUGCCCCUUAUGUCCUGGGCUACACACGUACUACAAUGGCGAUGACAGAGGGAAGCAAGACCGCAAGGUGGAGCAAAUCCCCAAAAGUCGCCCCAGUUCAGAUUGCAGGCUGAAACUCGCCUGCAUGAAGUCGGAAUUGCUAGUAAUGGCAGGUCAGCAUACUGCCGUGAAUACGUUCCCGGGCCUUGUACACACCGCCCGU
rnacentral:rRNA from 1 species